AAAACAAGAAUUAACAAAUAAAAGAGGGGCCAUUUUCUAGCCGUAGAUUUACCUUCCCGCAACUUAUCAGCCAUGGCUGUUGCCACAGUUCCUGUGAACUCAGUGUGCGCAUGUCCACUGCGCUCACCGCGCAUCCCAACCAAAUUUGUGUCCCAAUUCUUAACAAAAUGCUCGUCCUUCAAAUUGGGUUUUGAAUCUCUGCAACUCCGGACCACCCUACCCGCAAGAAAGCUUGUGGUUCGAGCAGCUAGAACCGAGUCCAAAGGGGUCUCUUUGGGCUUCCGAGCUCCCAAUUUUGAGAUUCCAGAGCCACUUACUGGGAAAGUUUGGAAACUGGAGGAUUUUGAAUCACAUCCUGCUUUACUGGUGAUGUUUAUCUGCAACCACUGCCCGUUUGUUAAACACCUGAAAAAAGGUAUCGUGAAGCUUGCAAAUUUCUAUAUGAAGAAAGGACUUGCAGUUGUUGCGAUAUCUUCGAAUUCUGUAGCUACGCAUCCACAGGAUGGACCACAAUUCAUGGCAGAAGAAGCUAUGCUGUUCAAAUAUCCUUUUCCAUAUCUAUAUGACGAGUCACAGGAAGUUGCCCAGGAUUUUGGAGCAAUUUGCACACCCGAGUUUUUUCUAUUUAAAAAGGAUGGACGGAGGCCAUUUGAACUGGUGUACCAUGGACAGUUUGAUGAUUCAAGACCUAGUAAUAAUGUGUCUGUAAGUGGAAGGGACUUGAGCCUGGCAAUAGAUUGUGUUCUUAGUGGCCAACCGGUACCAUCGAUUCAGAAACCAAGUGUUGGAUGCAGCAUAAAGUGGCACCCAGAGAGAAAACCGUGAUAUGCAAAUCUUGGUUUCAAUUUUCUUGAGAUUAUAACCUGAGAAAUAAAAAUACCCCAUGAACUCAUCGUAAAAACCAUGCAACUAAUUGCACCAACACUUGCAAAAUCAUGGACAUUGCCUAAAGGAGAAAAUGUUAUGGUUACCGUUCAAGUGGCACUCAUUUCUGUUAAUGCAUAGCUUCGGGUUGCCCUCGUAUGCAGUUGAUGGAAUAUCUUUGAAGAAAUUAGUAUUGGGAAGUGGACCUGAAAAGUCAUUGUAUGAGACAUUCAGGGACACAAGAUUGUCGAGACUGCCCAGUACUUUCAGGCUUCCUGUCAGCAUAUUGUGGGAGAGAUCCAUAUUGGCAAGUUUUGAGAGAUUUGAGAAGCUUUCUGGAAUGGGGCUUGUCAGAGAAUUCCAACUCAGAUUCAAGAGAAUAUCUAGACCUUGCAAGCGUCCGAUCUCAUCUGGGAUAGAGCCAGUGAUAUUGUUGCUGCUCAUAUCCAACAGCUGCAAAUCCUUACAGAAGCCCAAUGAUUUUGGUAUGGAACCCGUAAUGUGGUUUCCACUGAUGAUCAGUUUGUUUAGGGAUGUCAGAUUGCCCAGAUUUUCAGGAAUCGUGCCUUCUAACAUGUUCAUGGAAAGGUCUAAUACAUUAAGACCAGUAAGGAAUUGGAAAGAUGAAGGAAUCAUGCCUUGGAGCUCAUUGCCAUGCAAAUCAACCAUUUCUAACUGGGUACAGUUUCCGAUUUCAGGAGGAAUUUCCCCAUUAAAUUGAUUUUCUGACAAUUCAAGGAAGGUCAAUCUAUGAAGGAGCCUAAGUUCAGAUGGAAUUUGACCUGUGAAGUUGUUUGAUCCCAGCCGUAAGCGGAUCAAGUUGGUGCAGUUACCAAUAUUGGUUGGAAGAACUCCUGAAAGUUGAUUUGAUAUCAGCAACAAUUGAGUUAAGUUCUUGAGGUCAAAGAGAGAACUUGGAACUGACCCAUUGAGGAGAUUGUGUGAAAGGUCCAAAGCUUGAAGUUUCUCACAAUUGGCCAGCUCAGUUGGUAUGCUUCCAUACAGCUGAUUCUGCCAGGCAAAGAACAGAGUAAGUUCUUUUAAUUUCCCAAUGACAGGUGGAAUCUUGCCAGUAAAUCUGUUGUUGUCCAAUUCCAGUUGCUUUAAACUGGAAAAGUUUCCAAAUAAAGGUGGUAUGCUGCCUGAUAUAUGAUUCUCAGACAGCAGAAACUCCUCCAAUGCCACUAAAUUUACAAGAGACGGAGGAACCUCACCACUCAGAAGAUUCAUUGAGAAAUCGAUCACUAUCAAAAGCGAACAGUUCCCUAAAGCACCUGGAAUACUUCCAGUCAGAUUGUUCUUCCACAGUAGAACUCUUCUGAGUCUUUUCAACCGACUAAAUUCACCGGGAAUAUGACCAGAAAGCUGGUUUUCAUACAGAAACAAAUUUUCCAAGGCUGAACAGUUACCAAUUUCUGGUGGGAUGGCACCUGUGAGAUUUGCAGUAUAGACUGAAAGUGUUUGGAGAUUCUCUAGUUGUCCUAUGCUGCUUGGAAUCUGCCCUGUGAUUCCCGUAGCUGCAAGGCCAAGAAAAGUUAGUGCUUUGCAGUUUGAUAUCUGCAUUGGAAUUUCCCCAUGAAUUCCAGGAUUCCCGCCUGCACGGAAGAUUUCCAGAGCCGAUAACUGGCCUAUUUCUGCAGGAACCUUUCCGGAUAGCUGGUUAUCGUACAGCUCAAGUUGUUGAAGCUGUGAACAGUUUCCAAUUUCUUUUGGAAUGACACCAUGCAAGGAAUUGGAAUUCAGUGAUAAUAACUGCAAUUUAGAUAACUUUCCUAUCUCCUGUGGAAUUUUACCUGUUAGAGCAUUGGAGCUGAGAUCCAAGGUGGUAAGUGAAGACAAGUUUCCAAUCGAGGGUGGAAUUUCUCCGCUGAGGUUCCCUUUUGAGAUUACAAGGGUGGUAAGAUAGUUGAAGGAGAGGAGCUGGCUUGGGAAACUGGUAGGAACAUUGAGUGAGGUGAUUGUGAUUUCAGAAACAAAACUGCUGCUGGAACAUAUGAUAUAAUCCCAUUUGCAUGGAUCCUGGUCAGCUGGAUUCCAUGAAGAGAAAAAGGUAGCAGAGGAAGAAGAAUUAAAGGUUGAAAGCCAUGAAAGUAGGGAGAGGCCCUCUUGGUUCAGAGCAGAGGUGGCAGGACACAGAAAGAUAUUGAGAAGCAAGAGAAUAAUAGUGAUUGCAUUGCUUGACAUGAUGAGGUUAAUAACAACACUGCUACUUUCUAUCUCAUCUAAGUCUCUUUAAAUCUCUCAUCAUGUGAUAGUGGGAUAUUGAACUGGCUGCCUCAAUCCUUCAAACUGCUUUUUCUCUGGAAAACAUUGCUUAAAUUUCCUUGAAAUAGACUAAAAGCUAGGGCCUUGGAGGGACAGAAUAGUUUAUGGUUUCUAGUGCAGUUCUGGAUAUAUUAAAAAAAUUAUAUAUAUAAAUUCAUAGAAAAUUUUGAGUA